UACGUAGGGGGCAAGCGUUGUCCGGAUUUAUUGGGCGUAAAGCGCGCGCAGGCGGUCCUUUAAGUCUGAUGUGAAAGCCCACGGCUCAACCGUGGAGGGUCAUUGGAAACUGGGGGACUUGAGUACAGAAGAGGAAAGCGGAAUUCCACGUGUAGCGGUGAAAUGCGUAGAGAUGUGGAGGAACACCAGUGGCGAAGGCGGCUUUCUGGUCUGUAACUGACGCUGAGGCGCGAAAGCGUGGGGAGCAAACAGG
rnacentral:rRNA from 1 species